rnacentral:rRNA from 1 species
CUACGGGGUGCAGCAGUGGGGAAUUUUGGACAAUGGGGGCAACCCUGAUCCAGCAAUGCCGCGUGAGUGAAGAAGGCCUUCGGGUUGUAAAGCUCUUUUGUCAGGGAAGAAACAGCAGCUCUAAUACAGUCUGCGAAUGACGGUACCUGAAGAAUAAGCACCGGCUAACUACGUGCCAGCAGCCGCGGUAAUACGUAGGGUGCAAGCGUUAAUCGGAAUUACUGGGCGUAAAGCGUGCGCAGGCGGUUAUGUAAGACAGGCGUGAAAUCCCCGGGCUCAACCUGGGAAUUGCGCUUGUGACUGCAUAGCUAGAGUAUGUCAGAGGGGGGUAGAAUUCCACGUGUAGCAGUGAAAUGCGUAGAGAUGUGGAGGAAUACCAAUGGCGAAGGCAGCCCCCUGGGAUAAUACUGACGCUCAUGCACGAAAGCGUGGGGAGCAAACAGGAUUAGAUACCCUCGUAGUC